rnacentral:rRNA from 1 species
AUUGAACGCUGGCGGCAUGCCUUACACAUGCAAGCCGAACGGCAGCAUGAUUUAGCUUGCUAAAUUGAUGGCGAGUGGCGAACGGGUGAGUAAUACAUCGGAACGUGCCCUGUAGUGGGGGAUAACUAGCCGAAAGAUUAGCUAAUACCGCAUACGACCUGAGGGUGAAAGUGGGGGACCGCAAGGCCUCAUGCUAUAGGAGCGGCCGAUGUCUGAUUAGCUAGUUGGUGAGGUAAAGGCUCACCAAGGCGACGAUCAGUAGCUGGUCUGAGAGGACGAUCAGCCACACUGGGACUGAGACACGGCCCAGACUCCUACGGGAGGCAGCAGUGGGGAAUUUUGGACAAUGGGGGCAAUCCUGAUCCAGCAAUGCCGCGUGUGUGAAGAAGGCCUUCGGGUUGUAAAGCACUUUUGUCCGGAAAGAAAUCGCACUUACUAAUAUUAGGUGUGGAUGACGGUACCGGAAGAAUAAGGACCGGCUAACUACGUGCCAGCCGCCGCCGUAAAAC